rnacentral:rRNA from 1 species
UACGAAGGGGGCGAGCGUUGUUCGGAUUUACUGGGCGUAAAGGGCGCGCAGGCGGUCAUUUUUGUCGAGUGUGAAAGCCCCGGGCUUAACCUGGGAACUGCGCUCGAAACGGGAUGACUAGAGAUCGGGAGAGGAGAGUGGAAUUCCCAGUGUAGAGGUGAAAUUCGUAGAUAUUGGGAAGAACACCAGUGGCGAAGGCGGUUGCCUGGAGCUUUGCUGACGCUGAUGCGCGAAAGCGUGGGGAGCGAUCCGG